CUCAGGAGGCUGAGGUGGGAGGAUUGCUUGAGCCCGGGAGGAGAGGCUGCAGUGAGCCAAGAUUGUGCCAUUGCACAGCCUGGGUGACUGAGCCAGACCUUGUCUCAAAAAAACCCCCCACAUCAUUCUUUGUCUAUUCCAGUUCUUAGUGAAUUCUCUCCACAGAAUGACUGCACUCACCAUGGCAGGUAUUAAUAAUUUAAUCAUCGAUUUGACAUCUCUUACCAUUUAAUUUUUGUAUUAUUUAUCUCUAUGAUGUCCUAAUUUAUAAAUAGCAUAUCUAAUUCCUAAAUGAAUGAGAGAACACUUCUUAAAUGGUUAUUUAUUUACAUAUAUCUUUUACUCUAGAACAGAUGUCUCUCCUACAUCGUGAGGCCCAGUGUAAUUGUUUGCUUUAUCUCCCGUGGUCCCCAUAAUAUCCUGCACAGUAACAUAAUGCUUUGAAUAAGACAACUAAGAAAGCAAAUAAAGUUGUAUUAAAUGCAUUAGAGAUUUACAUUCUAUUAUUGAAAAUAUAUAUUUUAUAUUUCACAUAAAAUAAUUCCUGUUUUCAUGGAAACCCAUCAAAAGGAGAAGAAAUAUACAUCUUCACUAGGAUCAUCGAAGACAGAAAAGCUUUUGGAAGGAGACUUUUAGGGGAG
rnacentral:lncRNA from 1 species